rnacentral:rRNA from 1 species
AACGCUAGCUACAGGCUUAACACAUGCAAGUCGAGGGGAAACGAUAUUGGAAGCUUGCUUCCGAUAGGCGUCGACCGGCGCACGGGUGAGUAACGCGUAUCCAACCUGCCCACCACUUGGGGAUAACCUUGCGAAAGUAAGACUAAUACCCAAUGAUAUCUCUAGAAGACAUCUGAAAGAGAUUAAAGAUUUAUCGGUGAUGGAUGGGGAUGCGUCUGAUUAGCUUGUUGGCGGGGUAACGGCCCACCAAGGCAACGAUCAGUAGGGGUUCUGAGAGGAAGGUCCCCCACAUUGGAACUGAGACACGGUCCAAACUCCUACGGGAGGCAGCAGUGAGGAAUAUUGGUCAAUGGACGGGAGUCUGAACCAGCCAAGUAGCGUGCAGGAAGACGGCCCUAUGGGUUGUAAACUGCUUUUAUAAGGGAAUAAAGUGAGUCUCGUGAGACUUUUUGCAUGUACCUUAUGAAUAAGGACCGGCUAAUUCCGUGCCAGCAGCCGCGGUAAUACGGAAGGUCCGGGCGUUAUCCGGAUUUAUUGGGUUUAAAGGGAGCGUAGGCCGGAGAUUAAGCGUGUUGUGAAAUGUAGAUGCUCAACAUCUGAACUGCAGCGCGAACUGGUUUCCUUGAGUACGCACAAAGUGGGCGGAAUUCGUGGUGUAGCGGUGAAAUGCUUAGAUAUCACGAAGAACUCCGAUUG